rnacentral:rRNA from 1 species
GUGGGGAAUCUUCCGCAAUGGACGAAAGUCUGACGGAGCGACGCCGCGUGAGUGAAGAAGGCCUUCGGGUCGUAAAGCUCUGUCAUCAGGGACGAACGGCCGGUGGAGUGGAAAGCCACCGGAUUGACGGUACCUGAGAAGGAAGCCACGGCUAACUACGUGCCAGCAGCCGCGGUAAUACGUAGGUGGCAAGCGUUGUCCGGAAUUAUUGGGCGUAAAGCGCGCGCAGGUGGGAUCUUAAGUCCAUUUUGAAAGUUCGGAGCUCAACUCCGUGAUGGAAUGGAAACUGGGAUUCUUGAGUACCGGAGAGGAAAGCGGAAUUCCCCGUGUAGCGGUGAAAUGCGUAGAUAUGGGGAGGAACACCAGUGGCGAAGGCGGCUUUCUGGACGGUGUCUGACACUGAGGCGCGAAAGCCAGGGGAGCGAACGGGAUUAGAAACCCUUGUAGUCC